rnacentral:rRNA from 1 species
UAGCGGAGAAAUUCCAAUCGAACUCGGAGAUAGCUGGUUCUCCUCGAAAUAGCUUUAGGGCUAGCCUUGUUUAGUAGCAUGUGGAGGUAAAGCACUGAAUAUGUGAGGGUUCUUACCAGAAUACCGAUCAUUAUCAAACUCUGAAUGCCAUGUGUGUAAGAACAGGAGUCAGACAGUGACAGCUAAGUGCCAUUGUCAAAAGGGAAAGAGCCCAGACCAACAGCUAAGGUCCCAAAAUUGUAGUUAAGUGGAAAAGGAUGUGGGAAUUCAUAGACAACCAGGAUGUUGGCUCAGAAGCAGCCAUUCAUUUAAAGAGUGCGUAAAAGCUCACUGGUCGAAGUAGGCCUGCGCCGAAAAUUACCGGGGCUAAACUACAUACCGAAGCUUUGGAUUUGGUACGUAAAGUAUUAAGUGGUAGAGGAGCGUUGUAUAAAGAUUGAAGCUAUACUGAAAAGAGUAGUGGACGAUAUACAAGAGAGAAUGCCGGAAUAAGUAGCGAGAGCACAGUGAGAAUCUGUGCCGCCGAAAACCUAAGGUUUCCUGGGGAAGGUUCGUCCGCCCAGGGUAAGUCGGGACCUAAGACGAGGCUAAAGCAGCGUAGUCGAUGGAAAGCAGGUAAAAGAUUCCUGCACUACCGAAAUGCGAUAUACAAUAUAUCAUGACGCAUCAGAAGAGUCUAAGCGAGCAAAUGGAAAAGUUCGUACCGCAAGGUGGAGUGAAAAAUAGUAACGAAGUAGAUAAAUCAGGUGACAAGAAAAGUGAUAUAGGAGCAUAGAGGUACUCGUACCGUAAACCGACACAGGUAGGAAGAAAGAGAAUUUUCAGGCGAACGAGAGAAUCAUUGUUAAGGAACUCGGCAAAUUAACCCCGUAACUUAGGGAUAAGGGGAGCCAAUAGCGAUAUUGGUCGCAGAGAAAUGGCCCAAGCAACUGUUUAGCAAAAACACAGGUUUCUGCCAAAUCGAAAGAUGAAGUAUAGGAGCUGACGCCUGCCCAGUGCUGGAAGGUCAAGGGGAAGAGUAAACGUUUCGAUGUGAAGCUCUGAACUUAAGCCCCAGUGAACGGCGGCCGUAACUAUAACGGUCCUAAGGUAGCGAAAUUCCUUGUCAGGUAAGUUCUGACCCGCACGAAAGGCGUAAUGAUUUGGGCACUGUCUCGACAAUGAACUCGGCGAAAUUGUAGUACUAGUGAAGAUGCUAGUUACCUGUGAUAAGACAGAAAGACCCCAUGGAGCUUUACUGUAGCUUGAUAUUGAGACUAGGUAAGAGAUGUACAGAAUAGAUGGGAGACUAUGAGAUAAGGACGCCAGUUCUUAAGGAGUCACCUUUGGGAUACCAUCCUUCUUUUACUUGGAAUCUAACUAGUUGCCAUGAACUGGUAAUAGGACAGUGUCAGGUGGGCAGUUUGACUGGGGCGGUCGCCUCCUAAAGAGUAACGGAGGCGUUCAAAGGUCAGCUUAACACGGUCAGAAAUCGUGUGAUGACGUGCAAAGGCGUAAGCUGGCUUGACUGCAAGACUGACAGGUCGAGCAGACGCGAAAGCGGGACUUAGUGACCCGAUGGUUGUGAGUGGAAAUGCCAGAGCUCAACGGAUAAAAGUUACCCUGGGGAUAACAGGCUUAUCUCCCCCGAGAGUCCAUAUCGACGGGGAGGUUUGGCACCUCGAUGUCGGCUCAUCGCAUCCUGGAGCGGUAGUACGUUCCAAGGGUUGGGCUGUUCGCCCAUUAAAGCGGUACGCGAGCUGGGUUCAGAACGUCGUGAGACAGUUCGGUCC